UGCGUAUAGGGAGCGGCGGUACUGAUUACAUGCACGCACAGUUUUAAGGCAGCUUUAAUCGCCUUUUUGGUAACAUCACGACUUAACUGACCACGACAUUGCACACACGUAGUUUAUUUCGUGCUUUGAUAUGAAAGGAUACAGGCUACAGCGUGCGCCGGUGCCUUUGUGCAUGCAAUUGAAGAUCUCGUGCUCCGAGAACAGGACCGUUUCCGCGCAUGAAGACCCUGAUGAGACCCGGAAGUGGAAGUAUGACAGUAUCAGCUUCCUCUCUUGAUGCUUCUCAAUCCUGGGCAUCCCGCAGAGAGCAGACUGCUGCUGAAUAUGACGUCCUUGCAGAUUAAGUGGUCACUUGUUCAACUUUCGCCAUUAACCUGAGUGCACCAGGCAGUUUGCACUCCCCGCUGGGCUACAUUGGCACAUUUAUUGUCUGGGGACAGACUAAUGGAUCCCAGUUAAGCGGCUUCGUCCUUCAUUCCUCCGGUGACAGGGAGUGCUGAAGGACGCCUCGACUAGCUGACACUGCAGUUCCGUCUGCUUCUGGGCCGCCUGCUGCCAAGAGAGCUCACACUGCCUUGCAGACACUUGAUGAAGAAAAGGAAUCGAUGGAGUGAAGAAUGAUGAAGAAAUGAAAGUGGGAGACAGACAAGCUGCAAAAACGAGUGUGGCACUUUUGC